GACGAACGCUGGCGGCGUGCUUAACACAUGCAAGUCGAACGAUGAAGCCGGAGCUUGCUCCGGUGGAUUAGUGGCGAACGGGUGAGUAACACGUGAGCAAUCUGCCCUUGACUCUGGGAUAACUGCGGGAAACUGUAGCUAAUACCGGAUACGACACCUUGGGGCAUCCCAGGGUGUGGAAAGAAUUUCGGUCAAGGAUGAGCUCGCGGCCUAUCAGCUAGUUGGUGAGGUAAUGGCUCACCAAGGCGACGACGGGUAGCCGGCCUGAGAGGGUGACCGGCCACACUGGAACUGAGACACGGUCCAGACGCCUACGGGAGGCAGCGGUGGGGAAUAUUGCACAAUGGGCGAAAGCCUGAUGCAGCAACGCCGCGUGAGGGAUGAAGGCCUUCGGGUUGUAAACCUCUUUUAGCAGGGAAGAAGCGAAAGUGACGGUACCUGCAGAAAAAGCACCGGCUAACUACGUGCCAGCCGCCGCAGUAA
rnacentral:rRNA from 1 species